CUUGCACCUCUGUGUUGUGCUGGGACACAUCUGUCUGAGUUGUGUUUUGGGAAGGACUAUUCUCUGUCCAACGCAGCCACUGCUGCCACCUGGAGAGACGGCAUGACAGCACUAAGGGCUUUGAACUGGAUAAUCCUUAAAUUCCCUCCUAGCCCUUUGCAGUGUUCGCAUCCAGACAGGCCUGCCGGGAGGAGGAUUGGAGGGGGGCAGCUGGACAAGCGCCCUGCACCCUAGCUGGGCCUUUGUGUACUGGCCGCAGGAUUUGCAUCUGAAGCCACUAACAAAUGAGGUGAAGGAAAAGUCUGGAACCAGGACCAAGUCUGGUGCUGGUUUGAGUUCUGACUGCAGAGCAGCUGGUGCAGACUUGUGGGUGAUACACAGCUCAGCUGUCCUGAACACACUUGCUGAACUGAAGCCUCUCCCACAGUCGGCAAUGUGCCUUAGUUCACCUCCUUGAGCUCCUGUCCUGUAGUUAUAGGUGAGGAAAUGACUACCUGCACCCCUCCCAAAACAGACUCUUCACAGGGGGGAGUCAAGACAUCAGCUGCCCAAAGCAAACUCACAGGCUCCAAGACUGCACCAACACAUCAUCCAGAACAUUAGCAUUCCUCAGCUCUUGCCAAGCUGAGCUCCCCAUCCUGCUUUGGCUGUGGAGAUGGGUUCUGCUCAGAGGGGUAGAAGAAAGAACAUGGAGGCCAUAGCUCCGGGGUUAGAUGAAAUUGGGUGGUUGAAAACAAAUACAUGUCAGUAUUAGGGCAAGAGGUACCAUUGGGCCAGGCCCUCCUACCACUGCAGCUUCUACUACUCCUCCUUUCGUCUGCUUUCCCACCAUCUGCUGAGACAACCACAGGGAGAGAAGGGCCACACCAGCACACAGGGCAGAGAAGAAGCAACAGAGGAAGAAAACAGGACAGGGGAUGAGAUGCAAGGGGAGAGAUAAAGGUGAGGAGGAUGCUGCAGGUGGCCCUUCCCCAGGGGAAGUGGGGUUCUGGAAAGCUGUUAAUACCCAGUUCUGUGAAGAAGCUGCCUAUUUGUUCCCUAUUCAAGUAUUAAAUUAGCUCAGUCCUAAUUAGCUUGAAAACAAUGACAGAGUUAAAGCGGAUUUUGCCUUUCUCUUCCGGCCUGGAGGCACCAGCUGCCAAACGCUCCUCCAGGUUCGCAUCAUGCACCAGGCUGUGAGGGAGGUGAGAGGAAACAGGGAGAAAGCUGCUUUAACCCCUGCCCAUCAGAGGAAGGGCCUGGGCUAUAACAGGAAUGUUUGCUUUAAAUCUCAUUUAGCCAUGGCUAGUUUUGUUACCCAUAUCCCUGUUGCACACUAAUCCUCCCCUAGGAAGACAAGGAGAAACAUUUUCCCUUUCCUUGGUCCAUCUGUGGAGCAGACAGCUCUGCCUGCCCACGUGCUCACUGCUUUGCAGUCCCCGCUGGCUGUUGCUUUGCCCCUGUUUGACAAGGGAGCUGCACGUUUCUUCCACACCUCUCCUCUUUUAUAAACUUCUCCUUCAGCACCUCAGUCUGUAGCAGAACACAGACUUCUUUCCAAUCCCUCUCACACUCCCAAGGCUCCAGAGCUGAAUACAGCACCUGAAGAGCAGAGAUGGGUAUGCAGUUGAGAAAUGCAGACUGACUCUCUAGAGAGGCUGGCGACACCCGCAGUUGAUAGAAAAGACCAUUUAAUUAUAGCAAGCCCUAAAAAGAGAACAUCAGCUCUCUGUGAAUAAACUCAAUUACACUUCACUAGUCCA
rnacentral:lncRNA from 1 species